UACGUAGGGACCAAGCGUUGUUCGGAUUUACUGGGCGCAAAGGGCGCGUAGGCGGCAAUUCAAGUCAGCUGUGAAAUCUCCGGGCUUAACUCGGAACGGUCAGCUGAUACUGCUUUGCUAGAGUGCAGAAGGGGCAAUCGGAAUUCUCGGUGUAGCGGUGAAAUGCGUAGAUAUCAAGAGGAACACCUGAGGUGAAGACGGGUUGCUGGGCUGACACUGACGCUGAGGCGCGAAAGCUAGGGUAGCAAACGGG
rnacentral:rRNA from 1 species